GACGAACGCUGGCGGCGUGCUUAACACAUGCAAGUCGAACGGUAAGGCCCUUCGGGGUACACGAGUGGCGAACGGGUAAGUAACACGUGGGUGAUCUGCCCUGCACUUCGGGAUAAGCCUGGGAAACUGGGUCUAAUACCGGAUAGGACCCUGGGAUGCAUGUCCUGGGGUGGAAAGCUUUUGCGGUGUGGGAUGGGCCCGCGGCCUAUCAGCUUGUUGGUGGGGUGAUGGCCUACCAAGGCGACGACGGGUAGCCGGCCUGAGAGGGUGACCGGCAAGACUGGGACUGAGAUACGGCCCAGACUCCGACGGGAGGCAGCAGUGGGGAAUAUUGCACAAUGGGCGCAAGCCUGAUGCAGCGACGCCGCGUGAGGGAUGACGGCCUUCGGGUUGUAAACCUCUUUCAGCACCGACGAAGCGCAAGUGACGGUAGGUGCAGAAGAAGGGCCGGCCAACUACGUGCCAGCAGCCGCCGUAA
rnacentral:rRNA from 1 species